GAUGAACGCUAGCGACAGGCUUAACACAUGCAAGUCGAGGGAGCGGCGCACGGGUGUAUAACACGUAUCCAACCUGCCCUUUACUCGGGGAUAGCCUUUCGAAAGAACGAUUAAUACCCGAUAUAAAGGAGGGGGAUGCGUUCCAGUAGGUGGUGGGUGAGGUAACGCCCCACCAAGCCUUCGAUGGAUAGGGGUUCGGAGUGGAAGCUCCCCCAGAUUGGAACUGAGACCCUGUCCAAACUCCGACGUGGGGCAGGAGUGAGGAAUAUUGGGCAAUGGGCGUUAGCGUGAACAUGCCAAGUGUCUUGAAGGAUGAAGGCUUUUGGGUCGAAAACUUCUUUUGUAUAAGAAUCGGUAUUAUAUGAAUAAGGAUCGGCUAACUCCGUGCCAGCAGCCGCGGUAAUUC
rnacentral:rRNA from 1 species